CUUAUUGUCCCUCUGUCUCGAGCUUCUCUUAUCCUUACUCUCUCACGACUGCAGAUCGUUCUCACUCUCUCUGUCCCGACUUCUCUUAUCCUCACUGUCUCAUGACUGCAGAUUAUCCUCGCCCUCUCUCUGCCUCAACUUCUCUUAUCCUUACUCUCUCCAGUCUUCCUCACUCUCUCCAGAUCGUCGUUCCCCAUCACGCUUCCUCAUUCUCUGCGGCCUCACUCUCCGCGCCCGUUGGCUGUUUAUGGUUAGUGAUUAAUGUUUGUUUUUAAUUUUUUUGAAAAUUAAUUUUGUAAGUCAUUGUACUGCCGUUUAGAGUAUUAAUUGCAAUACAAACCAAAAAUCCGCCUGUUUAUGGAUUAAUUUUGUAAAUUUUGGUGGUAAUUAUUUGACGAUAAAGAUGAAUCUUUUGUUUGGAAUAUUAAUUGUGUGAGAAUUGCUGGAUUUUUAAUUUGGAGUCUUAAUUGUGUGAAAAUUAUUAUGGAAAUUGUUGGAUUUUUCAUUUGAAGUCUUAAUUGUGUGAAAAUUGUUGUGGAAAUUGCUGGAUUUUUCGUUAGAUAUAUUAAUUGUGUGAAAAUUGCUACAAAAAUUACUAGAUUUUGAUUCAAUGUGAUGUAGAAAUAUGAGUCGGGUGAAAAUUUUAUUGAUCUGUUAAGAAAAUGUCUAAUUUAAGCUGGGGUCAUUGCUGUGAAUAUGUAGGUCUGAAUUUGGUAUUCCAUAUGUAGAAAUUUUGGUCUUUAACGUUUUGUAUGGGGAGUAGUUCUAGGGAUAGAUGAACGCAAAUGAAGAUAUUUAGUGCAGUUGGCAAUGACCCCGGAAAAAGAUAUUCUCUUGAUCUCUUCUUAACUUUUUAAGAUCUCCUGCUAUGUGUAUUUUAGUGGUAGUGUAUAGGUAAAAUUUAACUUCUUUUAUUUUUUUUUUUAUUAACUACCAAUCAAUAAAUGAGUUAUUUACUCAGAACAUGAUCAGAUCAGGAGAGGGUGGGCUACCGCUAAUAGUUUAUGUAUUACACGUGUUGAAAAUAUAUUACAAGCAAACUUACUUCAGCCGCAUUUUUUUCUAUGCAUUUUAUAACCACGGGAAGAGUUUGAUGUAUUAUAAGCAAAAUUAAUUCUUGAUACCUAGCAACAUUAUUUUAUACUUUGUCUACUGUUUGCAAACUCUAGAUUUUGUUUGAACUUUUUUUUUGGCAAUUAAAGUAGUCUAAUAAUGACAAUGUUAUCUAGCACAAAUGAAAGUUGAAAUUCACUGCAAAUAUGUAAUGAAUGUGGUGACCAAAUGGAGUUAUUAAUAUCAUGUACUACAAAUAAUCCAAAUUGUAAAUUUUAGAAAUGUAAAGGAUGUAAAAACUUUUAAUGGGCAGAAGACCGAUCUAGUGAAGAGAAAAUUAACUUGUUAGUAAAGGAAGUUAGAAAGUUGAUAUUGGAGAUUGAGCGUUUGUCUGUUAAAUUUUAAUUGUCAUAUAAAGAACUUGAGCAUACUCAACAAUGUGAAAUGCUGAGACGAUUGUUUAAUGAUGAACUUCGAAGGAGACAUAGAUCAAGAUAUGAUUUCAUUAGAAUACUUGUGAUUGUUGUGCUAUUCUUUAUAUUCAAGUUUUUUUUUUAAGUUUUUUCAAUUUGUAAUAUCUAUUGAGAAAAAUGGUAGGCAUAAAUUCUUUAUUGGAUGCCGAAAUAGCACACAAUGAGUGCAAGCACAUUGAAAUUGUAAUGAUCUAUACCAUGGAAAAUUGUCAAAAAAUAUCAUAAAAAUUAUCAAUAAAAACCACCAGACCAACACAAAUUAUCAAAAAAAGCGACAAUAGUGCAAUUAAUCAUCACUACAAUUAGUCAUUUUAAGCCAAAUCUAAGCGAAAUGAUAGAAAAAAUAAUCUGAACAUAAUAUAAGUAAAAAAUCAAUCACAUCAACUGUUGUUUUCAUUACAUUGUUGAUGUAGCAAUUAUUGAAAAUUCUCACUUCCAGAUCCUUCGUACGUCAUCAAAUGAGAAGAAUAAUGUGAUUACAAAACAUACGGCGGGUCUGGUUGCUAUAAUACACAAAAAUUAAAACAAUAUAUUACAUUUUAUAAAUUUAAAAAUAUAAAUAUACACUAAGACAUUAUAAUUUGAAGAUAACAACUUACUAUGUGCUAAUUAUAAUGAAAUGACUAUUUGUAUCACCUUGGGUUGGGUAUAUGAAUACCUAGGCAAAUAAAAAAAAUAAAUGUAAAAUCCAUAUUAAAAAUUUAAACAUAAAAUUUUUUCACAAAUUUAAUUCUUAUAUUAUAGUAGCCUAAAGUCCUGUAUUGAUUGAGAUUUGCAUUAACAACACUUCCUUUAUGUAACAUCUAUAUAUGCUUAACAAUAUACAUAGUUACAUAUCUUCAAAAUAAAAUAAAAGUUUAAUAUAAAAAUUCACAAACUUACCAUGCCCACGUUGUUCUAUUGCGUGGAGAUUUCAUCAGGCACUUCAUAAAACGAUGGUGCAUCUUCUUGUAAAUCUUGUAAAAUUAUGGCAGACAAUUAAACAAAAAUCGAAUAAAAUUAGAAAACAUAUAUUUGUAUUUCAACAACCUUUAUUCUUUUAUGCAAUCUUCUUCUUUUGGGUUGGUUUCUUCUAAAUUACAGAUUAUUUCCUCAGACAAAGAGGACGGCCUUUACGGCGUGUGGCUAUUAGAUCAUUGAUUACAAGUUCAACAUUGUUGUUGCUGCAACUUACAUCACUUGUAACGAUUGUUGGUGAAACAAUUGUUUCCACACUUGCACACCGAAUUUGUUUCGGUAGAUCUUUUAGCGCCUUAUUAAUCCAAUCAAUACAAAUUUGUAAUUACUCUCAUCAUCAGUAGCUAUAUCCGCAACCUCACUGAAAGCAGUACACAUUUUGUCACAUCUCUCCUACUGAAUGAACAAAUGCUGCACACCACAAUUAACUUUCACCUUGUUGUAGGAUCUCCUCAUAUCUUUCCUCCACCUUGAUAAAUGUACAUUUCUGGAAGUAAUUCAACAUUAUUACAUAUUAACACUGCAAGGGCAUACCUACAAAGAAUCUCCCUAAACUGAAACUUUGAACAGAUACAACUAACUUCACACACAACUUCUUUAAAAACAUCUUCAAAGCUUCUUUUCUUACCUUACCCAUGUGAUUCACUGAUUUCAUAUACUGAUCCCAUAGAAUUAACUAUAUCACAAUACAUUAGUGUAGUUAAUUCUUGCUGGAAUUCUUUAAACUUAGGCAUGGUGUACACCUCUUCAACUUGCUUUUCUAUCUCAUAUCUUGUUACACAUAGAGUCUUUCUAAAACAUUUAGCAUUUGCUAGUCAUUUUAAUUCAGUUUUCCUUCUCAAUGCAUUUUCAUACCGCUUCAGAAGUUACUUCAAAUUUGUUUUUGAGUUAACAAAUCCAUAAAAAAAUGCAUUCAUAUUUUCACUUCACUAAGUUGUUGAUAUUUUUACUCAAAAACACUCUUUCAAAUAGCAUAACCCAACGAUAUCGCUCCUUAUAUAAACCAUUCAAUCAAUCAUUAUCCCAUAAAUCAUAUAUUGUAAUCAUGUCAUGUCAAGCUUCCUUAAACAUAGCAGAGCUCAGUAAAUCAUAAACAGCAGAAAGCAAUAGAGAAAUAAUAACUUCACGUUUUUUAAAAGCCCCUAACUUCUCAGGCACCUUCUUCAUUAUAUGUCACAAACACCAUCGAUGUCUAAUCGUAAGAAAAAAAAUUUCAAUUGCCUUUUGCAUUAAUUGUCUUGGUCUGUAAUGAUACCAAUGGGAGGAGAACUGUACAUGCAUGAUAGUCACGCCUCAAAUAAUCACAUAAAUGUCUCAGUAUCUUCGUGUGAAAUCAAUCAAUAUCCUAACAAAAUAGACUUACCAUGAUAAUUAACUCUAACAAAAGGAGUGAAUGACAUGUCAUACUUGUUGGUAAGAUAAGUGGUGUCAAAUAUGAUGAUAUCUCUAAAAUAUUUAUAAGCAGCCCUACUCCUUGGAUCUGCCCAAAAUACAUUCCUUAAUCGACCAUGUUAAUCCAAACCAAUGGUUAAAAAACCCAUUGCACUUUGCUUGCUUUUUCUAGAAGCACUUUAGAAUUGUUAUAACACCUCAUUCUCCAAGUUGUAAUCGCCUAACUUUGUCAAUAAGAUUUCGACAAUCUUUUUCUAGUAAUGAGACAUUUUAAUAUCUACCAACUUCUACAAUAAUAGAAUUAAAAAUUUAGGCAAUGUUAAUUCUUGCACAAUCAUUCAUUUCAAUUUGGUUUUUGCAAUUGAACUAAUGCUACGAAUAUAAAGAAAAUACUUAGCCUUGUUCAGACUCAAUCCAUGAUUGUAUUGAAGGUUUAAAGUUUGAAGAACUCAUUUGCCAUCUUCAUUCACACAACCUCCAAUUCUAGCAUCACAACCAUUUUUCAUAAUAGGUUUUGGCUUUAGCACAUUAGUAGAUUUACUUUCCAACUUAUUGAUAUGACCACAUGCAAAUGUUGCGUAUUUUAUAAUUCUAUCACUCCAUUUCUCACUAGUUAGCUUCUUCAUAGGAAAUCCUUCUUGUUUACCAUAGGUUUUGUAAAAUGUCCACAUUUCCUCAUGACUAUCAAAUAACAUUCUAAGAGUCGGUUCAUAUUCUUUUGAUUGCACAUCUUCGACUCUGGAAUCAUUUUUCAAAUUUUUCAUUUCUACAAAAUAAUUAAUAUUUGUAUUAAGAAUAAAUUAUUAUAAAUUUUUACAAAAUUUUGGUCUAGCAAAAAGUUAAUCCAUUAAAAUUUCUAUAUCAAACAUAUUUAUCAUUAUCAUUUAACUAGUAAAUUGCUUCUAAGAGCAUUAAGCAAAAUGUAGGUACAUUUCUAUUAUUACUGAUAUAACAAAAAUAAUAUUCAAAAUAAAAAAUCACUCUUUAUAAUUAAGUAAUUAUCAGCUUAGUGUUUUGCUUCCAGAUCUAUAUCGAGUAACGCCUCCGUGUUUGGGAGAAUUUGUGUAGAUUUUUAGUAGCCAAAUAGAGUGAGAUUGCCUGAAACAUGAUGUAAGUAGAGGUGGCCAUUAGGGAGAAACUGAGGAUGAGUAAAGAAGUGAGUGGCCUAAGUUUACCCUCCUUGUUGAGAGAGAGAAAGCAUGAUGCAUGUGAUCUGUCAUUUUUUUGUCAUUUUCCACAAUAUAAAGAGUGCUGCACGUGAGAUUUACUUGCUUUGUCAUUUGCCACUUUUUUUUCAAUUUUUUUAACAAUAAAUAUUGUUUAGUACACUAAGGAGUGAAAGAGUGAAAUGGAAAGAGUGAAACGGCAGCUUGUGAGUGCUGCAUGUGAGAUUUACUUGUGACGAAGAGCAUUUUUCUAAAAAGUUGUAGGGUGAUAAUAGUUAAGAAUUUUUUUUUUAUUGUAUGUUGCAAAAAGUUUUCUACAGUUGACAACAAGUAAGGAACAUUGUUAAAACCUUUUCAGAAACAUGCGUGUUUGUAAUUUUGUAUAUUGUCAAAAAUUACUUCAUUUAACAACAAUCUAUGCAAGUGUGUUGCAAAAGCUUUGUAUUAAUUGACAAGUAGCAGAAAAUCAUUAUUAUAUAUGUUUCAACAGCAUGUACUCUUGCACAUUGCUAAACGUAUUAAAAUAGAUAUUUAGCAACUUGCCUAUAUUGAAUGUUAUGUUUUCAUUAUUUAACAACAAUCAAUUAAUGCACGUUGUUAAAGUGUUGUUGUCUUAACCUUAUUUUCUUAUAGCGGUUGGUUGUGGUACUAAUAAUUUAAAUUUGUGGCUGCAGUUUGUUCAAUAAAUUGUUUGUUGAAUAAUAAUAAUAAUUUUUAAACUUAUUUACAAUUAUAGAUAUACUAAGAAUGAUCAUAUGAACAAAUAGUGACUUAAGGGUAGAUAAUAAUUACAGAGGCACGACAUUCAUCAUGGGCGUAGCUUUAGUUAUAAGAAUUAGAUACAAGGUUUAUUAAUUGAUUAUUAUUAGUCUAAAACUAAGAUUAAAAUUAAUGAAAAAGAGUUAAUUGGACUUUUAUUUAUUUACAUUCGUUAUUAGAAUUAGAGACAUGCAAAGUUAAGGUUUAAUCCAUUAAAUUUAUUUUUGGUUCAAAAGUUUAUUUAAAAUUAUUUUAAGUAUUUUAAAAAAUUAAAAUGGACCAACAGUAAAUUUUAAAGCCCAAAUUGCCGUAACCCAUUAAUGAAGAGAAGCCUUUGGAACAUGGAUGCAAACAAAAAGCCUAAUGAAAAUUAGGCUUAAAGUUAGAGUGAUGCUAUUAGCACCCCUUUAAUAUCCUAAUGAAACCUCUUCUUUGAAUUUACAAUUUUAUCCUUGUGUAGAAUUACAUGAAACCCCCAUACAAUUUCAUCUUAUCUUGUGCAAACAUUUUACACCUGCAACUACAGACUUCAUAAUACGACUCUUGGCACCCACAUGUAGAAUAUCCUUUUUUAUUUUUUAUUUUUCAGUCCAAUUCAAAAUGGUGGAAGAAGUGCAAAGAACUUAUUAUUGCAUAUGGGUCCCAAAUUCUAUUUUUAUUUAUUUUAAUAUUCAUAAUUUUGUUGUUACGUUUGUGAAGAACAAUUUCGGAUCAUUGUCUUGCUCUUUCAAAUACAACUCUCAUGGUUCUCAAAAUUCAUUAGUUUAUUGUUGAUGCAUCAUUUGUGCCAUUGUGAUAACUGUAAUAACUUGGUUUUUUUUUUCUUUCAAGCGUUUAUCUUCUUUUUAAACUCAUCAACUUUCUUCAUUAUUUUUCUUCAAUCUGCAAGUGAAAUCGUCUUGCUUUGACGAUAGCUCAGAGUUUUCUCUCAUGUCUCUAUUAUUAGCCUUCUUGCUUGUGAAUCCAAUCUUUGUUUUCUUUUUUAAAGCAAAUUCGAGAAAAUAAUUGCAAAACUCAGCUGUUUUUCUGCAAUUAACCAUCAUCUUCUCAAUUUCUAAAUUUAACAAGGUUAUUUACGGAAUAAGGGAGGUGUCAUUAGAAAAAAUUAUAUUCAUUUUAAUAUUUUGAAGGGUAUAAAAAGAAAAGGGGUGUUGACAGUACUUUUGAGGAGUGCCAAUAGCUUCACUCUUAAAGUUAACGUGUUUUCUUCCAAAAAAAUCAUGGAUUAAAAGUUGUUCAAUUAUAUGAUUAAUUGAUUGAAUAAAUAACAUACCAUUAAGGUUAACUUCACAUGUUCAUGCAUAUGCAUAAACUUUGAUAUUGAUAUUCUAAUGAGAUUAGAAUAGGAUAUUGAUAUCAUGUUUAUUAAUUUGACUUUACUAUUGACACAACCUAAUUAAUUAUUUUAUUUUAUAAAAUAAGAUAUUAACUGGUGGGAUUUCAAUUGAUCAGUUAAGAAAAUUAAAAGAAAACCUCUAACUUACAAAAAUUAAGUGGAAGAGGGCUUUAGGCAUGAAGCCCACAGCCUCCAUUAUGGGUCCAAUAGUAAGGUAGUUUGAUAUCUUGUCCCAAAUUAGAUGAGCUUCCUACAGGAGAUAUUAAUUAGAACUGGCUACUAAAUAGAACUUUCCUAAAGGAUAAAAUGUGCCGUAAGACUCAUUAAAACUGACUGUCUUGCGGUAGCUAUUUUAUUUGAGAAAUAUAAAAAAUUAAAAUAAUAAUUAUACACUCAAUUUAAGUUUGUUAAUAUCCUCCUUACGAAGUUCUUAUUGAUUAAGUGCAUGUUUGGUAUGACUUAUUUAAGAGGUAUAAGUGCUUAUUUAAUCUUAUAAGCACUUUUUAAAAAAUUUUAUGGUGUUUGGUUAUUUUUUUAAUAGAGUUUUUUUAGCUUAAAUAAACUAAUUUACCUCUACUAGUAAAAGCCCAAAAUUUGAGCUUUUGAGAGUAGAAAUUAGAGAACUUUUCCAAAAAAUAUAUAAUAUCUAAAAUAACCUUGACAUUUUUCAUUAAUUACAUAAUACCAUAUUUUGUAUAAAACAUACCCAACGAAAAUUGUUGCCGUCACUUCACUUUUUUUCUUUUAAAAAAUAGCCAUCAUUUUAAUUUUGCAAUCCCUACACAUACCCAACACUUGAGAGAACAAUCAUAAUCAUAGCCAACGUUUUUUGUGAGGAGCAUGCCAGGUAAUUUUGAUAGUUUUAUUUGUUUGGGAGAAUACAUCAAUGAUGCAAUUUUUAAUUUUGAAAAUUAAAGAAAUGAUUGAACUGAUUUUUUCUUAUUCAUUGAUAGCUUGGAUAAUGUAUUUUGUUACAUGUUAUAUAAUUAUGAAUACAUAUCUUUUUUGGUAAUUUAAUUACACAAAAGCACUUUUAGUUUUAUACAACCAAACAUUUUAAUGAUUUAAAAGAGCUUUUUUAAUUGACAACCAAACACCCAAUGACUUUUUGUCCAAAAGCUCUAUUGGUAUAAGCUCAACUCCUAUAAGCUCUACUAUUAUAAGCUCUAUUUAAUAAGUUGUACCAAACGGAGCCUAAACUUAAGAGGCUAAAUUAAUUGGGAUUUUAUUAUUAUUCGAUAUGAGAUAUUUAGAUGAUAAUAAUAAUUUCGUAAGUAGACUUAUCUAAUUAAUAUGAAAAAAAAACUUAUUUCCAAGUAGAUAUAGUUUAUCAACAUUAAUAGGCUUCAUACAUCUCUUACUCCUAUGGCUUUGUUCUCAAUUAUUUACUUCUGAAAAGAAUGAAAAUAUAAACUCAAUUAUUUAUAAAACUUAAACAUCAAUCAGAUUAUUACCCUAAAUUGUCAAUUUGCAACACCAAAUAACCAAAGUAAAUAGGAAAAAAAAUCAAUUGCUUAGAAUUUCCCUGCAAGAAAUUAAAUAAAUACCAUUUGCACCAAGAGCUACUGUCCCAACUUCAAGAACACAAAGGAAAAAGAAAGAGAGAGCAUAGAGCAUAUAUAUAUAUAAAGACAACUUUAAUUCAAUAACUUAUUCUACAACGAAAUUUGGUACAAUUUAAGGCUUCUCAAUGAUAUAAACUAAAGUGUUCCAAGUAAAAAGACCAACAAAAUGUCCUCUUUCUUAAUAAGUUGCCACCAUAUGCAUCAAUUAUUUGUAAAACUUAAACAUCAAUUACAUUAUUUAUCAAUAUAUCAAUUUGCAACAUCAAAGUAAAUGGGGGAAAAAAAUCAAUUACGUAGAAUUUCUGGCAGCAAGAAUGUUAAAUAAAUAGCAUUUACAUCAACAUCAAGAGCUACUGUCGCAUUCCACAACUUCGAAAACACAAAAGAAAAAGAAAAAGAAAAAGAGGGAGCAUAUGGUAAGACAACACCUGAAUUUAAUUAAUUAACUUAUUCUACAAUGAUAUUUGCUAGGCUUCAAGGAUUCCAAUGAUACAAACUAAGUGUUAAAUAGAGUGUCAAUAAUUAAAUGUGUAAAUCAAUGAAAGCCUGAGCAUCAAUGUCAUGAACAGGCAACAAGCCUUUGGAUUUUCUAAACGAGGUUGUCCCUACGAGCUAAAUAAAUUAAGAUUCAUCUUGUCAACUUACUCUCUUCUUGGCUCCUGGACAGGAAUGAUGGAAGUAAAUUCAUACAUUCAUGACAAUUUUCAUCCUUAUUGAGCAGCUCUUCCAAUAUGGAAACAGUAAUUUCAUCUGGCUUCACAUAUCUCUUCGCCAUUUUGUGAAGAAGUUCAAUUGCUUUUAAGCAUUCACGAAUCUGAGACAAACUAUGCAAAAGUGGAUUAAAUGUUAGCACAUUUGGAGCACAACCUUUCCUUCCAUAUCUGGUAACAAAUCAUAUGCUUUCUCUAUUCCUCCUUCUAUACAAAGUCCACAGAUCAUGACGGUAUAAGUUACAACAUUUGGCUCUGGGCCAUAUCUGGGCAAUUUCUUGAAUAGCUCCCAAGCACUACGAAGUCUCCAUGAUUUACACAAACCGUCAACAAGGCAAUUGAAGACGGUGAGGUCAAGUUCAAACUUGGUGUUAUGUAAAGUCCGAAACAAUUCCGCUGCCUCCAGAAUACAACUAUUCUUGCAGAGGCCAUCAAUAAAAUUUUUAUGAGUAUGAAUGAGGGGAAACAUCAUCAACUUUCAUUUCACCAAACAGUUUUCGUGCUUGUCCGACCUCACCAACUGAGAAAAGAUGAGUUAACUAGGUGUUAUAAGAAAUAACAUCUGGUCUAACUCCCAUAGAAAUCAUUUCUCCAUAAAGACUCAAAGCUUCCUCCACCUUCUCAAUUUUACUGUAACUGUUGAUCAAGGUAUUGUAGCUAGAAGUAUCUGGUAUACAUCCCUCACUUUCGAUGGAAACAAAUAACUUUCUUGCAUCAUCAAUUCUCCCCAUCAAACAAUAACCAUCGAUUAGAGAACUAUAUACAACCACAUCUGGGAUAAUUCCCCUGCUCUUCAUAUCCAAAAAUAAUUCUUUUGCCUUAUCUACUAACACAUCUUUACAGAGACUGUUAAUUAUACUGCAAUAAGAUAGAACAUCAGGAUGACAAAUAACACCCAAUUCACCAUUCCCAUUAACAAAUUCUUCAUGUAAUUCAAGUGCAGCACUCGUAUUGCCUGAUCGACACAACCCAUUAAUCAAAUUCCCAAAUAAAUCCACACUAGACUGUAAUCCUCAAUCCAGCAUCUCAAUAAACAAACCUUUGGCAUCCUCCCAAUUAACCGCACAGCAAUAAACACGAAUUAGAGAGUUAUAUACAAACGCAUCCGGGUAAAUUCCCCUACCCUUCAUAUCUAAAAACAGCACCCUCACUUUGUUUACAAACCCGUCUUUACAAAGACCGUCAAUAAUACUAGCAUAACAUAUUACAUUAGGCUGACAAACAUCACCACAUUCACCGUUAAUCAUUUCUUCAACUAACUUAAGAGCCACGAUACAAGUUGCUAGUUCGACACAACCCACGAAUCAGAGUUGCGCAUACAAUCACAUUAGGCCUACAAUCAAAAGCAACGAACUUCGUAAACAACCCAGACGCCUCUGUAACUUUACCCUGCAUGCACAAUCCUCUAAUCAAGCAACCCAAGGUCACAACGUCUGGGCUAAAAACCUUCCUCAAAAUCCUUCCAAGGGCCACAAAAGCAUCAGAAACCCCAAUCAUUUUGCAAAAGCAAUUCAUCAAAAUGUUCAAACUAACAAAAUCUGGCAACAAUCCAAUCGUAUUCAAUCUCUCGGAAAGACAAAUAAAAUUAACAUAAUACUUUUUCCCAGCUAGUGCACCCAAUAAAGAAUUAAACGACGGCAUAAAUGGAGUGGGCUGCAUAUGAAUCAUGUAAUUAAAGAAGCAUAGUGCAUCGUUGAGCUCAACCUCACCUGAUUUACAGUUCUCACUGAGAUAUUUAAGGAGUUUGGUUUUCUCUUCAACAGUUGAUACUGAGUUCGAAUGCAAAGAAGAGGGCUCAUUUUCAGAAUUUAAAGAUAUGGGCUUUU
rnacentral:lncRNA from 1 species